rnacentral:lncRNA from 1 species
CCCCAAGCUGCUUUUGGUCUCGGUGUUUGUGUUAAAAAGCACAGUAGCAAGUAACUCAGGAAAAUAACAUGAAGGUCUGGGCUGGAAGAGAUCACUGAAACCGGAGGCAAACUGACAGGUGUUGAAAAGUGAAUGUGGCUGCCCAAGGGCUCUCUGUUCUUCUUUCCCAUACAAUGAAUGACUCUUUAGAUGGACAGAAGUCUCACCUGAAGAGCCACCCUGAUUUGAUAACAUCUGUUCAAGAAUCAUGGGUCUACAUAAUUCUUUUAAUGAACAAACACAACGUUUAUCAGGCAACUGCCCGAAAGCUUGCCUCUCAGACAAACCAUGUGACACCUGUGUGUUUCCG